AGAGUUUGAUCCUGGCUCAGAAUCAACGCUGGCGGCGCGCUUAACACAUGCAAGUCGCACGAGAAAGUGGAGCAAUCCAUGAGUAAAGUGGCGUACGGGUGAGUAACACGUGGAUCAUCUACCUUUUAGUGGGGAAUACCCCUGGGAAACCGGGGACAAUACCGCAUAAGCUCGUGAGAGGAAAGCAGCAAUGCGCUGAAAGAGGAGUCCGCGGCUGAUUAGCUAGUUGGCGGGGUAACGGCCCACCAAGGCGACGAUCGGUAGCCGGCCUGAGAGGGCACACGGCCACACUGGCACUGAAACACGGGCCAGACUCCUACGGGAGGCAGCAGUGGGGAAUCUUGCACAAUGGAGGAAACUCUGAUGCAGCGACGCCGCGUGAGCGAUGAAGCCCUUCAGGGUGUAAAGCUCUUUCGACGGGAACGAUAAUGACGGUACCCGAAGAAGAAGCUGCGGCUAACUACGUGCCAGCAGCCGCGGUAAUACGUAGGCAGCAAGCGUUGUUCGGAAUUACUGGGCGUAAAGGGUGUGUAGGCGGUGCUCUAAGUCUGUUGUGAAAUCUCCCGGCUUAACUGGGAGGGUGCGGCGGAAACUGGAAUGCUAGAGUAUGGGAGAGGUAAGCGGAAUUCCUGGUGUAGCGGUGAAAUGCGUAGAUAUCAGGAGGAACACCUGUGGUGUAGACAGCUUACUGGACCAUGACUGACGCUGAGACACGAAAGCGUGGGUAGCAAACAGGAUUAGAUACCCUAGUAGUCC
rnacentral:rRNA from 1 species